rnacentral:rRNA from 1 species
UACGGGGGAUGCAAGCGUUAUCCGGAAUCAUUGGGCGUAAAGCGCCUGUAGGUUGUUUAUUAAGUCUGUUGUUAAAGACUAGGGCUCAACCCUAGAAAAGCAAUGGAAACUAAUAGACUCGAGUAUGGCAGGGGUAGAGGGAAUUUCUAGUGUAGCGGUGAAAUGCGUAGAUAUUAGAAAGAACACCGGUGGCGAAAGCGCUCUACUGGACCAUUACUGACACUCAGAGGCGAAAGCUAGGGUAGCAAAAGGGAUUAGAUACCCCUGUAGUCCUAGCCGUAAACGAUGGAUACUAGAUGUUGUGCAUUACGUACAGUAUCGUAGCUAACGCGUUAAGUAUCCCGCCUGGGGAGUACGCUCGCAAGGGUG